AACGAACGCUGGCGGCAUGCCUAACACAUGCAAGUCGAACGAGACCUUCGGGUCUAGUGGCGCACGGGUUCGUAACGCGUGGGAACCUGCCCUUAGGUUCGGAAUAACUCCCCGAAAGGGGUGCUAAUACCGGAUAAUGUCUUCGGACCAAAGAUUUAUCGCCUUUGGAUGUGCCCGCGUUGGAUUAGCUAGUUGGUAGGGUAAAAGCCUACCAAGGCGACGAUCCAUAGCUGGUCUGAGAGGAUGAUCAGCCACACUGGGACUGAGACACGGCCCAGACUCCUACGGGAGGCAGCAGUGGGGAAUAUUGGACAAUGGGCGAAAGCAUGAUCCAGCAAUGCCGCGUGAGUGAUGAAGGCCUUAGGGUUGUAAAGCUCUUUUACCCGGGAUGAUAAUGACAGUACCGGGAGAAUAAGCUACGGCUAACUCCGUG
rnacentral:rRNA from 1 species